GCCUCUGUGGUGUAGUGGUAGUGGCACGUGUCCCCGGUUUGGGUAAAUUUCGGGUUCGAAUCCCGCCUGAGGCU